rnacentral:rRNA from 1 species
CCUACGGGAGGCAGCAGUAGGGAAUCUUUCACAAUGGGCGAAAGCCUGAUGGAGCAACGCCGCGUGCAGGAUGAAGGCCUUCGGGUUGUAAACUGCUUUUAUAAGCGAGAAAUAUGAUGGUAACUUAUGAAUAAGGAUCGGCUAACUACGUGCCAGCAGCCGCGGUCAUACGUAGGAUCCGAGCAUUAUCCGGAGUGACUGGGUGUAAAGAGUUGCGUAGGUGGCAUAAUAAGUAGCUAGUGAAAUCUGGUGGCUCAACCAAUCAGACUAUUAGUUAAACUGUUAAGCUCGAGAACGUUAGGGGUAACUGGAAUGUCUAGUGUAGGAGUGAAAUCCGUAGAGAUUAGAAGGAACACGCAUAGCGUAGGCAGGUUACUGGGACGGUUCUGACACUAAGGCACGAAAGCGUAGGGAGCAAACGGGAUUAGAUACCCCUGUAGUC